rnacentral:lncRNA from 1 species
GGGCAUUCUCUUUCCAGUUUAUCCCAGAUCUCCAGUUCACCAUGGAAGUCAUAGAUCCUGGGGUCCGAAGCAACCCACUCACAGAGCAACACUGGGUAGGACGUUUAAACUGUCUAGUAGCAAACAGUCCUGAUGAUGAAUGCAGCUUUACUGUGCGGGUGAUGACAACAAUAUUCAAUUGAAUUAGAAUCUCAGCCAGACCAUUUCCAUCAAUAAUUAAUAUGUUGUUGGGUCAAUAACAAAGCUGGGUUGUAAUCAAUAUUACAUCAUAAAGCAGUAAUUGCUGAGCACCUCAAUACAAUUUGGAAGUUUCAAAGUGGAUUGUAAUAUGUUAUUUCCCAAGGCACUUAGGUCAGCGUUUUGCUGAGAGGGGAAGUUGUUUUUAUAAAUGCUUAGCGAUUUGCCGAGGACACAGAGAAAAACAUGACAAAAUGGGGAAUACGUUUCCUAUUCCCUGGACCCCCAAACUUGUGUCUUAACAGGCCUUCCUGGUAUUCGUGAUACGUGCUGACAUUUGAGAACCAAUGAAAACACCAGAUGAGAAGGAAGCUGAGGUUAUAUCUAGCCAAGUUUGGCAUCACCACUCAGAAAGACUGGGGUUUCCAGGUGGCUGUCUCCAAGCAAACUGCUCUGUUGGGGCCCAGUUUCCAUCACCAACACCACAUGGAAAGACCAGCACCAUAACAAAGGCACAUCACGUCAACUGGAAAACCCAAGAAGGCCGUGCUGAUGCCCAGCGUCAAGUCAGGCAGAACUACCC